rnacentral:lncRNA from 1 species
UUUUUUUUUUUUUUUUUUUUUUUUUUGCCACCUACUUCUUCUAAGAUUUAUUUUUAGGGUCAGUUCCUUGGCAUGCACAAGCUGGUGGUGUUUCUCUGACUGCACUGAAGCUGUUCUGCCUGUCACUUGUGCAAUAGAGACUGCUGGUCUCAGAUGGUCAUCACUGGUCCUCUCCAGCCCUUUUGCCAUCACUCUCAACAAGGAGAUCAAGUGCUCUACCACCCAUAAAGACAUUGCCAUGUCAUUCUGAUCCCCAUCAUGCUCACACAUUUUUGCAGACCAGGUGGAUGGCCCAGGAUCUGCUGGAGAACUCCUUGUUGAAGCUGCCUGUGCCAGGUUUGUUCUUGCAGAGCAGAGCACAGAGGUGCUUUGCAAACAUUCUCAGAGCCUUUGAACAGCCUUUGAACAGCCUUUGAGCAUCUCACCACCACGUAUCCAAGCCUGAGUUAGCCUCUUCCUCUGGGACCACAGGCAGGAAGUAGUAGUCUACAAGCAGAAGCAAUUUGGGGUGAAGACAGCUCUCCUGUGUUGUCUGUGUGGCUGCUCUGAGCAGGAUUACUUCCACUCCAAAUGUGUUAUUGCAGGGAAUAGACGGGAGCUGGGUGGGGCUGCAGGGGCUGCAAUGACAAUGAAAGGAAAUGCCUCUGCUCUGCAUAUGGUCUGGGGAGGGAGGGUGCUAGUGCCAGGCAGGAGGGGAAGUUGUGCAAGACAGGGUCCAGAGGGGAGGCAUCUGCAUGAAAACCAGAGCAGAAGAAAGUAUUUGAGAGAGAGUGGAUGUGUGGGUGUGUGGGUGGUGUCGAGGGAGUGGGAAGGAGACAAAAGAGGCUGUGUAUGGCUGUGUGUGAGAGGAUUGCAAAGAUGAGACGAAAGGCAGAAUGUCUGUGGGUGGCAUGGAGAAGGAUGCAGUGCCUGCUCCAUACUGCCAAACUGAAUGCUCCAUCCCAGAUGCUCUGACCACCUUUUCAACCCCAUCAACUACACCCUUAUUUUACCCUGUUAAUCCUCUAUAUACAAUGUCCUUGUCUGAGGAAG